CCUACGGGAGGCAGCAGUCGGGAAUAAUUAACAAUCGAGGGGAGCCAUCUGCAGGCAUACUUCGUGAGUAAUGAAGACCGCAGAGUGGUAAAGAUCUUUCACCAGUGAAGAUAAUGACGUUAGCGGACGAAGAAGCGCCGUGUAAAUUUCUGUCCGCACCGUCGCUAAUAUGAGGAGGGGUAGACGCUCCUCUCAGUUACUGGGGGUAUAGAGCGCGUAGGGGGGGUAUUGAAUCUCAGGUGUAAUACCGGGGGUCUCCCCCCGAACUGCACUUGAUAUAUCGUAGUCUCUAAUCCCGAAGAAGUGAGGUGUGAAUUCCGAAUGUCAAGGUGUAAAUUUUAUAAUAUUUGGAAGAACCCCUCAUGGCCAAGGGUUCUGUCUGGCACAUUUACGACGUUUAGGGGCAGAAGCCUUGGGGGCCAACCAGGAUUGAUUUCCUUGUUAUUCCCCCUCUCUUAUUGUCGGGGGAAGAUUGUGGCUUGCCAGCAUGUCGGUGACUCACCUCACGCCGUAAAUCCUCCGCCUGGGGAGCACCGUCCCAAAAUUUAAAACCAAAGCCUCUCGCGG
rnacentral:rRNA from 1 species